CUGAGAGCUAUGAGUUUGAAUUUCUCAUUAUUAAUGGGAUAAGCACGGUGGAUAUAGUGUGAAGAGUGCUCAUAGAGGUUUAUGUGAUCAAGGAGUUUCAACUUCUAUAGCUAAUGAUUGUUGGCAGCGGGCUUGGUCGUUAAUGGUCCUUCCAAAGGUCAAGAACUUCAUCUGGCCUGCUUGUUGUGUUCCGACACGUGAAGGUUGAGGAUUUCUGCCCGGUGUGUCAAGGGCAAGAGUUUGUGAAAUGGUUUAAUCUCUUAUGGGGCCGUUCUAACAAUGAGCAGUGUGAAAUGGGGGCUGUAGUUCUUUGGUGUUCGUGCAAUAAUCGGAACAAUAUUGUGUGGAAAAGCAAAGGUCUUUCUGCCAUGAGCCUGAUUUCUUUUGCUGUUUCUUUUCUGCAAAAGUGGAAGACUGUUCAAUCUUCUUUGGCUGCUGCAGAUGUCUGGAGUUUGAUUGUUGAUAAGGAAAAAUGGAAAAAGCCAGGUGAGAACUUGUACAAGUGCAACGUGGAUGCAGCUCUCUUUAGCUGUAACUCAGAGAUUGGUCUGGGCUGCCUGUUACGAUAUUCCUUGGGGUGAGGCAAGGUCGUUUUCCUGGUCUUAUGGAUUCCGUGUGACUGCUGAAGCUAUUUGCACUCGUGAAGCUCUCAGUUGGAUCAAGUCGAGGUUCUUUAAUCUUCCUAUUCUAUUAGAGUCUGACUCUCUUAAUGCUUUGAAGAUCCGAAUUACUAGUGACGCUUACCUUGGAUCUGUUAUUGGUGACUGUAAAGCUCUUGCGAAUGAGCUAAAUCUGAUUUCUUGUUCUUUUAUUAGAAGAUCAGAGAAUAAUAUUGCUCAUGCGUGAGCAAAACCGGUUUAUUUUUUUGUCUGGUUUUAGCUUAUGGAACGUGUCUAUCUGUUUUCUGCUUUGUAAUGUUCUUUCUUUGAAUUUGCCGUA